GCCGAUGGCUUAAUCCGUCUAUCAAAAGCUCCCUACAAUUCGAAAAAUAGAAGAGGAAGGAGAAUAGAAGUUUGUUACCUCAACUUCGAUAUUGGCGGUGGCUCACCAGAAAUACCCUACGAAAAGAACUCUCUAAUCCUCGUGACUCCAUCGGCAAUUGACUAGGGAUUUCAAGGAGAUGACAAAAAAAUUUAAAGGCAC
rnacentral:lncRNA from 1 species